rnacentral:rRNA from 1 species
GAUGAACGCUGGCGGCGUGCUUAACACAUGCAAGUCGAACGAAGCACUUGAGAUUGAAUCUUCGGAUGAGAACUCUUGUGACUGAGUGGCGGACGGGUGAGUAACGCGUGGGUAACCUACCUCAUACAGGGGGAUAACAGUUGGAAACGACCGCUAAUACCGCAUAACCCGCUAGUAUCGCAUGAUACAGACGGAAAAGAUUUAUCGGUGUGAGAUGGACCCGCGUCUGAUUAGCCAGUUGGCAGGGUAACGGCCUACCAAAGCAACGAUCAGUAGCCGGCCUGAGAGGGUGAACGGCCACAUUGGGACUGAGACACGGCCCAAACUCCUACGGGAGGCAGCAGUGGGGAAUAUUGCACAAUGGGGGAAACCCUGAUGCAGCGACGCCGCGUGAGUGAGGAAGUAUCUCGGUAUGUAAAGCUCUAUCAGCAGGGAAGAAAAUGACGGUACCUGACUAAGAAGCCCCGGCUAACUACGUGCCAGCAGCCGCGGUAAUACGUAGGGGGCAAGCGUUAU